rfam:Sus scrofa isolate TJ Tabasco breed Duroc chromosome 16, whole genome shotgun sequence.
UCCCUGGUGGUCCAGUGGUUAGGAUUUGGUGAUUUCACUGCCAUGGCCCAGGUUCAAUUCCUGGUCUGGGAA